rnacentral:rRNA from 1 species
GAUGAACGCUGGCGGCGUGCUUAACACAUGCAAGUCGAGCGAAGCUCUGCUUCUGAUUUCUUCGGAUUGAAGGGGCGGAUGACUUAGCGGCGGACGGGUGAGUAACGCGUGGGUAACCUGCCUCAUACAGGGGAAUAACAGUUAGAAAUGACUGCUAAAGCCGCAUAAGCGCACAUUGUCGCAUGACAAAAGUGUGAAAAACUCCGGUGGUAUGAGAUGGACCCGCGUCUGAUUAGCUAGUUGGUGAGGUAACGGCCCACCAAGGCGACGAUCAGUAGCCGACUUGAGAGAGUGAUCGGCCACAUUGGGACUGAGACACGGCCCAGACUCCUACGGGAGGCAGCAGUGGGGAAUAUUGCACAAUGGGGGAAACCCUGAUGCAGCAACGCCGCGUGAGUGAAGAAGUAUUUCGGUAUGUAAAGCUCUAUCAGCAGGGAAGAAAAUGACGGUACCUGACUAAGAAGCCCCGGCUAACUACGUGCCAGCAGCCGCGGUAAUACGUAGGGGGCAAGCGUUAUCCGGAUUUACUGGGUGUAAAGGGAGCGCAGGCGGUAAUGCAAGUCAGAAGUGAAAGCCCGCUGCUUAACGGCGGGACUGCUUUUGAAACUGUAUAACUAGAUUGCAGGAGGGGUAAGCGGAAUUCCUGGUGUAGCGGUGAAAUGCGUAGAUAUCAGGAGGAACACCGGCGGCGAAGGCGACUUUCUGGACUGUUACUGACACUGAGGCACGAAAGUGUGGGGAGCAAACAGGAUUAGAUACCCUGGUAGUCCACACCGUAAACGAUGAGCACUAGGUGUCGGGGGAGCAAUUUCUCGGUGCCGCAGUUAACGCAUUAAGUGCUCCGCCUGGGGAGUACGUACGCAAGUAUGAAACUCAAAGGAAUUGACGGGGACCCGCACAAGCAGCGGAGCAUGUGGUUUAAUUCGAAGCAACGCGAAGAACCUUACCAGGUCUUGACAUCUCCUUGAAACCCUUGAUAACGAUAGGGCCUCCUUCGGGACAAGGAUGACAGGUGGUGCAUGGUUGUCGUCAGCUCGUGUCGUGAGAUGUUGGGUUAAGUCCCGCAACGAGCGCAACCCUUGCCGUUAGUUGCCAUCAUUAAGUUGGGCACUCUAGCGGGACUGCCGGGGACAACUCGGAGGAAGGUGGGGAUGACGUCAAAUCAUCAUGCCCCUUAUGAUCUGGGCUACACACGUGCUACAAUGGUCGGUACAAAAAGCAGCGAAACCGUGAGGUGGAGCGAAUCUCCAAAACCGAUCCCAGUUCGGAUUGCAGGCUGCAACUCGCCUGCAUGAAGUCGGAGUUGCUAGUAAUCGUGGAUCAGAAUGCCACGGUGAAUGCGUUCCCGGGUCU